rnacentral:rRNA from 1 species
CCUACGCGUGGCAGCAGUGGGGGAUAUUGCACAAUGGGGGGAACCCUGAUGCAGCGACGCCGCGUGGGUGAAGAAGCGCCUCGGCGCGUAAAGCCCUGUCAGCAGGGAAGAAAAGGACGGUAAAUGAAGAAGAAUACCCGGCUAACUACGUGCCAGCAGCCGACGUAAUACGUAGGGGGCAAGCGUUAUCCGGAUUUAACGGGUGUAAAGGGGGCGCAGACGGCGGUGCAAGCCAGGAGUGAAAGCCCGGGGCGCAAGCCCGGGACUGCUCUUGAAACUGCGUGGCUGGAGUGCAGGAGGGGCAGGCGGAAUUCCUGGUGUAGCGGUGAAAUGCGUAGAUAUCAGGAGGAACCCCGGUGGCGAAGGCGGCCUGCUGGACUGCAACUGACGUUGAGGCCCGAAAGCGUGGGGAGCAAACAGGAUUAGAUACCCCUGUAGUC